GCCCGCUUGGCUUAGUGGUAAAGCGCAUCACUAGUACCUAGUGUGAUGAUGAGAUCACUGGUUCGAUUCCAGUAGCGGGCA